ACGAAUUUACAGAGUAACCAAAAUACAAUAACUUUGAAGAACAAAAACAAUCAGGGAAAUAACCAAAGAGAAAAGCAUCAAUGAAAUGGACUGAAGCAAUAAAACACUGUAGACUGGAAUGAAGCUACUUGAAGAGAAGCACCCAAAGAAGUCAAGACUCGGUGAGACCGGGCAAAAUUGGUCUUUCUUAGUCUUUGCUCUAUUCCCGUUACACAAGAAUGAGCAAAGAGGGGCAGCUGUAAGAGCCAAUUUUUGCCCGGGCCUAUACCAACAAAAUAACCCAAAUAAUAAAAACAAAAAUAGUCCAUUUUCAGCAAAUUUAAACCCAAAAAACUACAAGCCCAAACCCAAUAGGCCCAAAAAUCAGAAACCCUAAGCCCACAAACUUAAAGAUUUUCAGCAAACCCUAGUUGCCUCCCCUAAAACUUGGCACCGCAAGCUUCCAUGCGUGGCCUCCUCGUCUGCCACGCCCUCGCGUCGCCGCACGCCAGCACCCCAUCCACGCGCAUCUGACACUGUUCUGUCACCUGCAAAAGACAACCAACAGAACAACAAAUAGAGAAAACAAAUAGAAAAUGACAAAUGAGGCAGAGAUUAAACGUUUGUAAUCGGCUAUAAAAAGCCGAAUAAGGCAAUUGUACUCUUCUUCUUCCGAUUUUACGAACAAAAAAGAGAAAUAAAAAAACAAAAAAAAUAAAGGUGAUUUUUUAGAUCUGUUGUUUUUAUUUUUUUUAUUUUACUUCAUUUAUUUUUUUUCAAACAAAAACAAAAUAAAGAGGAGGGGGCUUACCGGAUGCCCGUGACCAUCGUCGGAUGGUUGGUCUCCGUCAUCGAGACCAAAUUCGGAGGGAGAGGGCUGUGGGCCUCUAUCUCGGACCUUAUGGGGUUCGAAAGCCCGUCUGCUCAACCCACCAAGAACCAGGCUUUAAAAGCCUUUCGUCGCGCUUCGUUGGCCGUCGUUUUGGUGGCGGUGCGGCGGAUAGACGAACGGUGGUGAGAGGCCGAUCGUCAGAGGGCAUGGGGAGUAUUGAGAGGGUUGCUGCAGUUUUUUAGUG
rnacentral:lncRNA from 1 species